GAAGGCUUUAGCUUAAUAAAAGCAUUUGAGUUGCAUUCAGGAGAUGUGAGUUAGCUCUCACAAGUUUUA
rnacentral:tRNA from 1 species